UCACUUCCCCUCUGGCUGGCUGGGGGAGAAAAUUGGAAGAGUGAAAGUGAGGAAACUGAUGGGUUGAGAUAAAGACAGUUUAAUAGGGAAAGCAAAAGCCAUGCAUGCAAGCAAAGCUAAGCAAG